rnacentral:rRNA from 1 species
CUUGUCUUCUAAAUAAAGACUAGUAUGAAUGGCGCCACGAGGACUAAGCUGUCUCCCCCCUCUAAUCAGUGAAACUGAUCCCCCCGUGCAAAAGCGGGGAUAAAGCCAUAAGACGAGAAGACCCUGUGGAACUUAAAAUUUACAAUCACCGGCCCUUAAUUUCCCAAUCAGUGGCACAAACCUGAUUUGUAUUUUCAGCUGGGGCGUCUGUGGAGAAAAAAUUACCCUCCAUGAAGAAUUUAACCUAAGAGCUACACCUCUAAGCAUUAAUACCCUUAACUUUACUUGACCUAAUUAUAUUCGUCAACGGACCAAGUUACCCCAGGGAUAACAGCGCAAUCCACUUCUAGAGUUCCUAUCGACAAGUGGGCUUACGACCUCGAUGUUGGAUCAGGGCAUCCUAGUGGUGCAGCCACUACUAAAGGUUCGUUUGUUCAACGAUUAAAGCCCU